CAGAACUGAAAUUCUGCUAUGUACGGAUGAAAGUGCAAUCUUCCUAGUCACACCUUACAAAUUUGUUGAUCAGCAGUCAUUCUUCUGACAAAAUCAUCUAAAGCAGCUCCAAAUGUCUGAAUAAACCUGAUCAAUGUACAUCAUUAUUUUCAGUGAGAGAACAUCUGUGCAUCUAGUUGCAGCCUAAGCUUCAAAAUAGCCCUGCUCUGCCAACUGGAAAAAAUGGCGGACGACAAGGUCUACAAGGAGAUAGAAACAGUUUGGAUCCAUCUCACUCCAUCUGUUAUGGAGAUCGGAAGAAUCUGCCCUACACCAAUGCUGUGAUUCAUGAGAUUAUACGAAGCAAAUACAUCACAUUCUUUGGAAUACCAAGAAAAUGUGUGAAGGAUGUUUACCUCAAUGGAUUUCUCAUUCCCAAGGGAGCUAUGAUUUUACCAGACCUGCGCUCUGUUCUCCUUGAUCCUGAACAAUGGGAGACGCCUGAAAAAUUCAACCCCAACCAUUUUUUGGACAAAGAAGGACAUUUUGUCAUUAAAGAAGC